rnacentral:rRNA from 1 species
AUUGAACGCUGGCGGCAGGCUUUACACAUGCAAGUCGAACGAGUGGCGGACGGGUGAGUAAUGUCUGGGAAACUGCCUGAUGGCGGGGGAUAACUACUGGAAACGGUAGCUAAUACCGCAUACCAUCGGAUGUGCCCAGAUGGGAUUAGCUAGUAGGUGGGGUAAAGGCUCACCUAGGCAACGAUCCCUAGCUGGUCUGAGAGGAUGGCCAGCCACACUGGAACUGAGACACGGUCCAGACUCCUACGGGAGGCAGCAGUGGGGAAUAUUGGACAAUGGGCGAAAGCCUGAUGCAGCCAUGCCGCGUGUAUGAUGAAGGCCUUCGGGUUGUAAAGUACUUUCGGCAGAGAAGCGUUACCCGCAGAAAAAGCACCGGCUAACUCCGUGCCAGCCGCCGCGGUAAUAC